UACGUAGGGGGCAAGCGUUGUCCGGAAUCAUUGGGCGUAAAGAGCGUGUAGGCGGCCAGAAAAGUCCGCUGUGAAAACUCGAGGCUCAACUUCGAGCUGUCGGUGGAAACUUUCUGGCUAGAGUCCGGAAGAGGAGAAUGGAAUUCCUGGUGUAGCGGUGAAAUGCGUAGAUAUCGGGAGGAACACCAGUGGCGAAGGCGACUUCCUGGCCUGUUCUUGACGCUGAGGCGCGAAAGCUAGGGGAGCAAACAGG
rnacentral:rRNA from 1 species